ACGCUGGCGGCGUGCUUCAUACAUGCAAGUCGAACGAUAAGGUCUCUUCGGAGACACAUAAGUGGCGGACGGGUGAGUAAAAUGUAGAGAAUCUGCCCUAGAGUGGGGGACAACAGUUGGAAACGACUGCUAAUACCGCAUAUGAGCGUACCUGCAAUGGUAUUCUUGAAAAACUCCGGUGCUCUGGGAUGAGUCUGCAUCUGAUUAGCUAGUUGGCGGUGUAAUGGACCACCAAGGCGACGAUCAGUAGCUGGUUUGAGAGGAUGAUCAGCCACAAUGGGACUGAGACACGGCCCAUACUCCUACGGGAGGCAGCAGUAGGGAAUUUUGCGCAAUGGGCGAAAGCCUGACGCCAGCAACGCCGCGUGAUUGAAUAAGCCCUUCGGGGUGUAAAGAUCUGUCAGUAGGGACGAAACUUGACGGUACCUACAGAGGAAGCAUCGGCUAACUCCGUGCCAGCCGCCGC
rnacentral:rRNA from 1 species